AGGGUUCGAUUAUGGCUCAGGACGAACGCUGGCGGCGUGCCUAACACAUGCAAGUCGAGCGGAGACAUGUUGCGGAAGUUUUCGGAUGGAAGCGAUAUGUUUUAGCGGCGGACGGGUGAGUAACGCGUGAGCAACCUUUCCUUGACAGGGGGAUAACGUACCGAAAGGUACACUAAUACCGCAUAAGGCCACAGCACCGCAUGGUGCAGGGGUGAAAGGAGCAAUCCGGUGAAGGGUGGGCUCGCGUCCGAUUAGCUAGUUGGUGAGGUGACGGCCCACCAAGGCGACGAUCGGUAGCCGACCUGAGAGGGUGAUCGGCCACAUUGGAACUGAGAUACGGUCCAA
rnacentral:rRNA from 1 species